rnacentral:rRNA from 1 species
AUUGAACGCUGGCGGCAUGCUUUACACAUGCAAGUCGAACGGCAGCGCGGGCCUCGCCCUGGCGGCGAGUGGCGGACGGGUGAGUAAUGCAUCGGAACGUGCCUGGUAGUGGGGGAUAGCGCCGCGAAAGGGGGAUUAAUACCGCAUACGUCCUGAGGGUGAAAGCGGGGGACCGACGGACCUCGCGCUAUUAGAUGGGCCGAUGUCGGAUUAGCUAGUUGGUGGGGUAAAGGCCUACCAAGGCGACGAUCCGUAGCUGGUCUGAGAGGACGACCAGCCACACUGGGACUGAGACACGGCCCAGACUCCUACGGGAGGCAGCAGUGGGGAAUAUUGGACAAUGGGGGCAACCCUGAUCCAGCCAUGCCGCGUGCGGGAAGAAGGCCUUCGGGUUGUAAAGCGCUUUUGUUCGGGAAGAAAUGCUCUGGGCUAAUACCCCGGGGUGAUGACGGUACCGGAAGAAUAAGCACCGGCUAACUACGUG